CAACUCCUCGCCCGAAAAUGACUAACAACACUUAGAAUAAUUGCUUCUAAUUGUCUUUAUCCUCCAAAUAAAGCAAACCCGGCUUAUUCCCCACCAGGCAACUGGGAGAAGGGGGUGGAGCAACUGGAAGAGAUUACCUGCCUUAAUUAAAAAAUAUAAUUAUGCCUAUUAGGUAACCCCUCAAAGUUCCUUUUCCCAUCUUCCCCACGUGUAGUCUGCUGCAUUUUGAAGCUGAAACAUCUUGGAGGCCACCAAAUAAGAUAGACUUGAGAUUUCUGUUUAAUUAUUUGGGAAUCCAUAAUCCCGGGUACCCUUUGCCAUAAUCCAGAGUGGUGGGUCCGAGAGCAAUUUACAAGUGUGUCCGCGCUGGUGACUGAGCCCAACCUAGACUCAACAGCCCAUCUGUCAAGUUGGAAGAAAAUGGAAAUAGUAGAUACUUCAUUGCUGUGAGCAAUUCCAGAUGCCUCCCCUCUCACAUUUACAGCAACCUCUGCUGUGGGCAAAAUACAUAAAUUUUAGAAUCAGCCAAAUCCUGAUUUGCAUCUUUGCCAGGUAUGUUCUAGUGGUGAAAAAACCUUAUCAAGCCUUAAGCUUCAGUUCUUUCUUCUUUCAGGAGGAAUAGGGCCCGUACGUCACAGGGUUGCUUGAGGAAUAAGUGGGAGAGAGUUAUUGAACCUUGAUUAAAACCUCACCUCUGCUCAGCCCUGUAUGGGUGGUUAUUCUGGUUUUACAGAUGGGUAAACUGAAGGGGGUGGGUGGAGGAGGGUAGAGAUUUGUGAAUGGCAGGGCAAGAUCCCCCAGGUGUUCUCCUGGAUGACCCUGUGGCUUCCCUAGGGCUGCAGCCACUGAGCUUCCCGGAACUACCUCUUCCAGGGAGCCCUUUGCGUCUUUCUCUGCAGACAAAUCCGCCUGGGCCCUGCUGCUGGGAACUUCCCUCCAAUCAGGCAGGGGCUGGGAAGAGGCCAGUGAGCUGUGCCCAGGGGUUGGGAGACAGGAGAUACUCCCUGCUGUUUGUCUAAACCUAAAGUUUCUUCUUCCUUCAUCUCCACCUCUCACUAGAUAGAUCUGCCAAUCUGCUUCCUUCCCAAAAGGUAGGUAGUUAUUCCCAUUUUACAGAAGAAAAAAAAAAAAAAA
rnacentral:lncRNA from 1 species